rnacentral:pre_miRNA from 1 species
CCUUUGUCUAAUUUUAAGUUUUCGUGUCCAAAUUUGAUUGUCCGUUUUAUUUGAAAUUUUUUUAUGAUUAGUAUUGUGUUGUUAUUAGAUGAUAAAUAAGACGAACGAUUAAAGUUAGACAUGAAAACU